rnacentral:RNase_P_RNA from 1 species
UGCGUAGGACGGGCGAUCGCUGGCUGAAUUUCAGCGGGAGGAAAGUCCGGGCUCCAUAGAGCAGAGUACUGGCUAACGGCCAGGCAGUCUUUGACUGACGGCAAGUGCAACAGAAAGAAAACCGCCUCUUCGGAGGUAAGGGUGAAAGGGUGGGGUAAGAGCCCACCGCGCUUAAAGUGAUUUAAGUGGCACGGUAAACCCUACUUGGAGCAAGAUCAAAUAGGGAAGCAACAGAUUGGCUCGAUCUGCUUCCGGGUUGAUUGCAUGAGAUGAUCAGUAAUGAUGAUCCUAGAUGAAUGGUCGCCUCCACAGCAAUGUGAAGACAGAACCCGGCUUAUAGUCCUACGCGAAUG